rnacentral:rRNA from 1 species
CGCGUAGGCGGCAAGGCAAGUCAGAUGUGAAAUCCCCGGGCUCAACCUGGGAAUUGCAUCUGAAACUGCAGUGCUUGAGUCCUGGAGGGGAUAGUGGAAUUCCCAGUGUAGCGGUGAAAUGCGUAGAUAUUGGGAAGAACACCUGCGGCGAAGGCGGCUAUCUGGACAGUGACUGACGCUGAUGCGCGAAAGCCAGGGGAGCGAACG